UUGAACGCUGGCGGCAUGCUUUACACAUGCAAGUCGAACGGCAGCGGGGUAGUGCUUGCACUACUGCCGGCGAGUGGCGAACGGGUGAGUAAUAUAUCGGAACGUACCGAGUAAUGGGGGAUAACCAAUCGAAAGAUUGGCUAAUACCGCAUACGUCCUGAGGGAGAAAGCGGGGGAUCGCAAGACCUCGCGUUAUUCGAGCGGCCGAUAACUGAUUAGCUAGUUGGUGGGGUAAAGGCCUACCAAGGCGACGAUCAGUAGCGGGUCUGAGAGGACGAUCCGCCACACUGGGACUGAGACACGGCCCAGACUCCUACGGGAGGCAGCAGUGGGGAAUUUUGGACAAUGGGGGCAACCCUGAUCCAGCCAUGCCGCGUGUAUGAAGAAGGCCUUCGGGUUGUAAAGUACUUUUGUUAGGGAAGAAAAGGGAAGUGCUAAUACCACUUUUUGCUGACGGUACCUAAAGAAUAAGCACCGGCUAACUACGUG
rnacentral:rRNA from 1 species